GCUACGGGAGGCAGCAGUGAGGAAUAUUGGUCAAUGGACGCAAGUCUGAACCAGCCAUGCCGCGUGCAGGAAGACGGCUCUAUGAGUUGUAAACUGCUUUUGUACGAGGGUAAACGCAGAUACGCGUAUCUGUCUGAAAGGAUCGUACGAAUAAGGAUCGGCUAACUCCGUGCCAGAAGCAGCGGUAAUACGGAGGAUUCAAGCGUUAUCCGUCUUUAUUGGGUUGAAAGGGUGCGUAGGCGGUCGGAGAAGUUAGAGGUGAAAUCCCGAGGCUCAACUUCGGAAUUGCCUCUGAUACUGGUCGGCUAGAGAGUAGUUGCGGUAGGCGUCAUGUCUGGUGUAGCGGUGAAAUGCUUAGAGAUCAUACAGAACACCGAUUGCGAAGGCAGCUUACCACGCUACUUCUGACGUUGAGGCACGAAAGCGUGGGGAGCAAACAGGAUUAGAUACCCUUGUAGUC
rnacentral:rRNA from 1 species